rnacentral:rRNA from 1 species
AUUGAACGCUGGCGGAAUGCUUUACACAUGCAAGUCGAGCGGCAGCGCGGGGCAACCUGGCGGCGAGCGGCGAACGGGUGAGUAACACAUCGGAACGUGCCCAGACGUGGGGGAUAGCCCGGCGAAAGCCGGAUUAAUACCGCAUACGAUCUGAGGAUGAAAGCGGGGGAUCGCAAGACCUCGCGCGUUUGGAGCGGCCGAUGGCAGAUUAGGUAGUUGGUGGGGUAAAGGCUUACCAAGCCUGCGAUCUGUAGCUGGUCUGAGAGGAUGAUCAGCCACACUGGGACUGAGACACGGCCCAGACUCCUACGGGAGGCAGCAGUGGGGAAUUUUGGACAAUGGGCGCAAGCCUGAUCCAGCCAUUCCGCGUGCAGGAUGAAGGCCCUCGGGUUGUAAACUGCUUUUGUACGGAACGAAAAGGCUCUUGCUAAUACCAGAGUCCAUGACGGUACCGUAAGAAUAAGCACCGGCUAACUACGUGCCAGCACG